UACAGAGGGUGCAAACGUUGUUCGGAAUUACUGGGCGUAAAGGGCGCGUAGGUGGCCUUCUAAGUUGAACGUGAAAUCCCUGGGCUCAACCCAGGAACUGCGUCCAAGACUGGGAGGCUUGAAUCCGGGAGAGGGAUGCGGAAUUCCAGGUGUAGCGGUGAAAUGCGUAGAUAUCUGGAGGAACACCGGUGGCGAAGGCGGCAUCCUGGACCAAUAUUGACGCUGAGGAGCGAAAGCCAGGGGAGCAAACGGG
rnacentral:rRNA from 1 species